AUGAAGCUGUUUGGACUGUAUUUCUCUGCUGUCUGGAUAUUGUGCUGCUGCUAUCUUGGCUGUGGCGGAGGUCAAGGUGUGUGCAGUAAAGGGAAGCUUGUUACAAGAAUCAAUUUAACCACAGAACUGCAUUCUGAAAUCCUGCUGCCGUGCCUUUUUGAACAAGCUCUCACUGGAUCAAACCUGACCAUGAAUCCAGAAGCUGUGUGGACUCAGAUAAAUGAAACCAUUGACCACAUUGUAGAGAUCAAAGUAAAUAAUCCUGUAAACUUCUGGAAUAGCAGAAACAAUAGAAUUAAGGUAUCCGGUGCUCCUGCCACUGGAAACUUCUCCAUCCUGAUUAGAGAUGUGCAGCUGUCUGAUCUGGGUCUCUACCACUGUGAACUCUACAGAGAUAACUGUUCUCUGGGCUAUAAAGAGAUAGAAAUCAGUCUGGCUGCUGUUGAAUUUUCACUGCUCAAUAACUGGCAGCUCAUAGUUGCAGGAGGAGGAGGAGGAUUUCUGCUUCUCUGUCUGAUCACUGUGUGUGUUUACUAUACAUGGACAAAACGACAAACAGUCGAUGCAUCAGUCAACCACACAUCACACAAUAGCCCUGACAGUGAAGGACAAAAAAAUGAUGAAAUAACCUAUGCAUCAGUUGUUCCUAAGGCACCCAAUUGCCAUGACAGUGAAGGACAAAAAAAUGAUGAAAUAACCUAUGCAUCAGUUGAUUUUAAAUCACACAACUGCCAUGACAGUGAAGUUCUUCUGAAUAAUAACCCUAUAAAUAGCUCUGCAUCAGAAGACAUUGUCUGCCCAGAGACGAUCAUUUACUCUACCAUCAAGCAAGGAGAGAGAAGAUGAGCAAGCAAAAGCAUGAGGCGGUGUGUUGUUACUGUGGGUGAAGGGUGUGAAACUGAACUCAGCUACUUUAUCACCUAAACCACUGAAAUCGUUGCAGGCAAUGUGACAGGGCCACACAUGCAACAAUAAGACAGGAUAAACAGUCUAUCUUACAGUAUAGCUACUCCAGGCCAAGAUGCUUACAGGAAACCAGAGUGGAAAUUCCCAUAUCCAUGAGCUUCUUCACAAAUAAGCUACAGAUUCUGUUUUGUCACAUAGUGUGAAAAUGUUUUGUGUGAAAAUACACAAGAUUAAGCUCAAUGACGUGUAUGUUACAAUUAUUUCAAUUUUUUAAGUAGGCCUACAUUAGAUUUACAGUAGACCUGACUUGAAAGAACAAUUGCUCAAUCAUUCAAUUCAGAGGCGUCAUGCCCAUUCCACUCGAGCCAAGUGGAUUUUGAAUUCAGCUUACAAAACACAACAACAACAAAUUGCCCAUUAAUAUAUUUUUUAAAAUAUUUGAUACGAUAUGUUUGAUUAGAACGUUCAGUGCGUCACAUCACCAGCUGCUAAAUUCAAAUCUGUGUUCGCUGGCUGCCGCUGAGACAGACGCUCUGCGCAUUAUAACCAAUCACACACGAGUCUGAGCUUAUACGCAAUAGCCAAUCAGAGGCAUUCAGAUGAGUCAUCGCUGAAACCCCUGUUUUGUUCAGUGUGCGCGCUCACUUACUGAAUUCUCUCAUUAGAAACAACAAAGUGUAGAUGUGCAUACGAUGUAAGUAACAUAUGCAAUUCCAAAUGUAAACAGCUUCAGUGAUUAUAGUGGAAGUUUUUGAGAGUGCUUGUACUCUGGCUAGACUGAAGUUCUGAUAAUGAAACCGUGAUCAUUUUCUUUGAUAAUGUAGCCUAAAUGUUCUUUGCUAUCUUUCUGUACAUUGAAAGUGUUCUAAUUAGUAACUUACAAUGUUUUUAUUAAAUUCACUUUAAAUACAAUGUCGGUCGGAUUAAAAAUAUUUAUGGCAUGACACCAUGCGGUAGUUGAGUAAAAAGACUGAUUUUAUGUGUAGUUAAUAGAUCCAGUGGCGUUUCGUCCAUAUAAGCUGUGAAUGCUCUGCAUACCCAGGACAUUUGAGAGAAUAAGUUCACGGGAUAAUUAAUAUAAACAUGAUUAUAUAAUGAAAAUGUACAAGACAACUAAAAUAUUUUUCAAAUAUUUUUAAAAUAAAAUAUAUUUUUUUAAGAAUUAAAAAUAAUCAGAUUUUGAGUAAUGAACACAUUGCAACCAAGCUUGGGAUGGCCCACAUAAAUGAGCAAAAAUGUUUUACAUUUCUUAAAAUAAUACCUUUUGAACAUUAAACACUGACUGUCAGACUUUAUGAAGCUCCAUUCCCGCAUCCGUGUCCGCGCCCACCCUCGCCUCAUGUUUGCAGUCGACUGCAAAUGAUCAUAAUUGAUGGACAACUAUGCCCGGGGGGAAAAAAACAUAAGCAGCCUGGCGCAGAGAAAAGAAAAAGUAAAAAAGCUCAAGAUGAAGCCCGUGCAUCACUUUCAGUUAGGCUACGUUAAUAAUCCUGUGAAACUUUUUUGGCUGUUGACGUUCAUAACGUUUAUUAACGUUAAUUAAUGUUUUAAUUAUCGUAUGAUAAGCUUAUUGAUGACUUUGCCUCCAAGUGUGCUUUUGUAAAUUUUGAAAUUCGGAAUGCUCCAGCAGAUGACGUAUAUCAGUGUUGAUUUUCGGAGUGUCUAUAUACACUAAGUGCAAAUCGCCCACCUUGUUGGCAGAAGCUAUUUACACUAACUCCGCCCACCUACGUGUGAUUGGUAUAGUCAACACUACAAAAGACUAAUAGCAAACAAUAUUGACGCGAUCCACCCGAGGAUAUAAGGAAAUAACCUGUUUUUAUACAGUCUAUGGAAAUAACCGACAGGUUGAAAAUAAAGUAUCGGGUAGGGUAAGGGUAGGUGUAGGGGAGGGCUUUAUUGUCCCAAUAAGGUGGCAUCCAUCUUUUUUUUUUUUAAUUAAAAUUAUAAUUUACACUCAUUUUUUUUAUUGCAUACUGUUUUAUAAUUUACUAUAAUAUUGAGGUGCAGAUAAUUUCCACUAUUUGAAAUAAGUAGUAUAAAUAGCAGAAAAUCCUGCUAUUUUUUCCAUAGUGUAAAUGGAAUCUAUAGAUAUUUGCACUUGGUGUAAAUAACAUAUCUCUAAGAAAUACUGCUAUUGUCACUUAGUGUAAACAGAAUCCAUUGCUAUUUGCACUUAGUGUAAAUAUCCUCUAUAGCUAUUUACACUUAGUGUUUAUUUUGAUAUUUAAUCUUUUAAAAUGUUUUAUUUAAUGUGUGUAAUUGUAUUUUUUUAUAUUUUUUUUUGCAUUAGAGCUACAAUUGUAAUUUGUAAAUAAUACAAUUUAAAUACCAUUUAUUUAUUUAUUUAUUAAUUUUUAUGUUUAAUUAAAGUUCUAUUUUGACCCCUAUAGUAGUUUUUUUUUUUUUUUUUUUAUUCCAUUAUAUUUGGGGGAGGGGGCACAACAAUGCUUUUCUGCUUAGGGCACUGCUUUGGCCAGCAGCAGCCCUGGCCCCCACCCCCGACUCAUGCCCCCUCAAAAAUAAUAAGUGCAUGAUGCCCCUGAUUCAGUUGUACAUGACUCCAGUAUAGUCAGUUACACUGGAGCUCUGUGCUGACUUUGAGGUUAAUUUGAACCGACAGUAUUUAAUUUGUGGCAGUUAAUUUUAUUUACAACACAUCAUCCUGUAGGACUUUGCUCAGAUUUGUGGUAUUUUUGAUCUCUGGCUAUCAUGAGAAGUUCUAAACAUUGUGUAACACUGAAUUCAUUUUAGUAACACUUUAAAUAUAUUUAAAUUAGAUAAAUCUAGAAACUAGAUUAGAUAAAACCAGAAAAAACAUUUUCUGGAUGUAAAAUAAAAAGAUAAAACUGUACAGGGGAGACCUGGGAGUGUUGUAACACGGGGUUAGUUUACAAGUUUAAUUUGAUACUUUGCAUUCAUGCUAACUUAAAACCCACAUGCUAAAACAGUUAGCUAUGUUAUGACUGUUUGGGAUGGGGUUAGUUGUAACAGUUCAUUAAAAAUGUUACAACCAACUCCUAAUGAUGAUUCCAAUGAGUCCAGUUAUCCAGUCACAUCCAAAGUCACGAUUUAUGUAAAAUGUGUUGUGUUUAUGCGCAUAUCUUCUUAUUGGAUAAAAACACUAUCCGCCUCAAAUGAGCACAUACGUUUUUAGUGCACAUGUUUAGAAUUUAUGUGCAUCUUGACAUUUCCAUCCAGUAUUUUUUAUGUGAUAUUCCAAAAUUUACAUAAAAAUAGGUAUAUGGCAACAUAGCUGCUAACUGAAUACGGUAUACACACACUCACACAAACACACACAGCAAUUGUUUUUGUGCUUAAUUUGAAGUCCUAAAAGGAAUACAAUAUAAUGUUUUUUGUCAUUUUAAAUGGUUCACUUUAUUCAAAAUUGAUUAUUCUUUGUUCUUCAAUAAAGUUUUUGCAUAAAUUGGAA
ensembl:lncRNA